GUAGGGUGCGAGCGUUAAUCGGAAUUACUGGGCGUAAAGCGUGCGCAGGCGGUUAUGUAAGACAGAUGUGAAAUCCCCGGGCUCAACCUGGGAACUGCAUUUGUGACUGUAUGGCUAGAGUACGGUAGAGGGGGAUGGAAUUCCGCGUGUAGCAGUGAAAUGCGUAGAUAUGCGGAGGAACACCGAUGGCGAAGGCAAUCCCCUGGACCUGUACUGACGCUCAUGCACGAAAGCGUGGGGAGCAAACAGGAUUAGAUACCCUGGUAGUCCACGCCCUAAACGAUGUCAACUGGUUGUUGGGAAUUAGUUUUCUCAGUAACGAAGCUAACGCGUGAAGUUGACCGCCUGGGGAGU
rnacentral:rRNA from 1 species